CGACGGGGGGUGCUAGCGUUGUUCGGAACUACUGGGCGUAAAGGGCGCGUAGGCGGCUCUGCGAGUCGGGCGUGAAAUCCCGGGGCUCAACCCCGGAACGGUGCUCGAUACUGCGGGGCUGGAGACCGGAAGAGGAGGGUGGAAUUCCCAGUGUAGAGGUGAAAUUCGUAGAUAUUGGGAGGAACACCGGUGGCGAAAGCGGCUCUCUGGUCCGGUUCUGACGCUGAGGCGCGAAAGCGUGGGGAGCAAACAGGAUUAGAAACCCUAGUAGUCC
rnacentral:rRNA from 1 species